ACUUUAUAUGUUAACUUAAAUUUUUAUUGAAUUUUAAUAAUUUAAUUAGGUUAUUAUAUUUUGUUGGGGCGACAGAAGUAUAAAUAAUAUUAACUGCUUAAUUAAUAAACAAAUAAUAUUUGGAUUAUCUAAGUAAAUGAUCCUUUUUAGGGAGUAUAAGACUAAGUU
rnacentral:rRNA from 1 species